GGGUAGAGUAAUGCGUGACCAACCUGCCCCAUGCUCCAGAAUAGCUCUUGGAAACGGGUGGUAAUGCUGGAUGCUCCAACUUGACGCAUGUCUUGUUGGGAAAGUGUUUAGUGGCAUGGGAUGGGGUCGCGUCCUAUCAGCUUGUAGGCGGGGUAAUGGCCCACCUAGGCUUCGACGGGUAGCCGGCUGAGAGGGCGGACGGCCACAUUGGGACUGAGAUACGGCCCAGACUCCUACGGGAGGCAGCAGUAC
rnacentral:rRNA from 1 species